rnacentral:rRNA from 1 species
GAUGAACGCUGGCGGCGUGCCUAAUACAUGCAAGUCGAGCGAACAGACGAGGAGCUUGCUCCUCUGACAUUAGCGGCGAACGGGUGAGUAACACGUGGAUAACCUACCUAUAAGCCUGGGAUAACUUCGGGAAACCGGAGCUAAUACCGGAUAAUAUAUUGAACCGCAUGGUUCAAUAGUGAAAGACGGUUUUGCUGUACCUUAUAGAUGGAUCCGCGGCGCAUUAGCUAGAUGGUAAGGUAACGGCUUACCAAGGCAACGAUACGUAGCCGACCUGAGAGGGUGAUCGGCCACACUGGAACUGAGACACGGUCCAGACUCCUACGGGAGGCAGCAGUAGGGAAUCUUCCGCAAUGGGCGAAAGCCUGACGGAGCAACGCCGCGUGAGUGAUGAAGGGCUUCGGAUCGUAAAACUCUGUUAUUAGGGAAGAACAAAUGUGUAAGUAACUAUGCACGUCUUGACGGUACCUAAACAGAAAGCCACGGCUAACUACGGGC